rnacentral:rRNA from 1 species
UACAGAGGUCCCGAGCGUUGUUCGGAUUCACUGGGCGUAAAGGGUGCGCAGGUGGGUUGGCAAGUUUGAUGUGAAAGCCCCGGGCUUAACCCGGGAAAGGCAUUGAAUACUGCUGAUCUGGAGGAUCGGAGGGGGGACUGGAAUUCUUGGUGUAGCAGUGAAAUGCGUAGAUAUCAAGAGGAACACCAGUGGCGAAGGCGAGUCCCUGGGCGAUACCUGACACUGAGGCACGAAAGCCGGGGGAGCAAACAGG